rfam:Ixodes scapularis strain Wikel colony gcontig_1108379723390, whole genome shotgun sequence.
ACAACGGCCCUUUUGAGGGCCACAAUAAUUUGUGAAUGUCGACUCU